rnacentral:rRNA from 1 species
UCCUACGGGACGCAGCAGUGAGGAAUAUUGGUCAAUGGCCGGAAGGCUGAACCAGCCAAGCCGCGUGAAGGACGAAGGUGCCAAGCAUUGUAAACUUCUUUUGUCAAGGGACAAAAUCAGGCUCGAGAGCCUGACCGAGGGUACUUGAAGAAAAAGCAUCGGCUAACUCCGUGCCAGCAGCCGCGGUAAUACGGAGGAUGCGAGCGUUAUCCGGAUUUACUGGGUGUAAAGGGAGCGUAGACGGAGGAGCAAGUCUGAUGUGAAAAUCCGGGGCCCAACCCCGGAACUGCAUUGGAAACUGUUUA